GUCAUUCAUUAUGCAAGGUCUCUAUGUACGUCUUCAUUAUUCCCACAUUUUCCCAUUAGAAAAAUGUCUUUUGAGCUUUGAUGUAAACCAUAUUAAAACAUUUCUCAACUUAGAGUUUCCCUGCUGUUGUUUGAACUACAUAAUGAUCAGAUCAACAGAUAUGAAUUUUAUUAAAUGUGUCAUAGUUUAGUUUUAUCUCAUCUUGAUAUGUUGCUUUUGGUGAAAUUGUGCUCAGGUUCUUGGUUUCGUAAUGAUUAGAGCUGCCUGGAAUAGCUGCUGUUGGGCUACUAACCGUAUAAUCAUUCUAACCAAGUCGUAGAGAUUUUCUCCGUGUUUGGUUUCCUCUCACAUGCUACACACAUUUGCAUAAUUCUUAAUUAUUUUCGCUUGUUUUCUAUCAUUCAUGCUACAGAAAUUAUGAUCAACGUACAGUGUUCUUACUCUAACUAGACAUGGGAUGGCUCAUCUUAUGUAAAGGUGUCAUGUGCUGUAGUAGUGCUUGGAAAUGCAUUUUGUUACCUUUAUUUAUUAUCUGUAACCUGCUUUUUCACUAUAAUGGCUUCUGCUUUGAUGUGCCGUGUCCUGGCAACAGCGGAGGAGACCACAGUGAAAUCUCCAACCCAAGCUUCUGCUGUUGCUGCUGCUGCAGCCGUGUCCUCACAGUCCAAGCCUCUGGCUGCUGGGCCUGCUGAUCACCAAAGACAAUGGAUUUUUGGAUUAACUGCUGCAAGAGCUUCUGUUUCUCAAGCUCCUAGACCUCCACCUCCCCCAGUUCCUUUAAAGAGACGCACCAGGUCUGCUGUAAUUUCCAGCCCUCCUGGAGGAGCCUCUCUUCAUAGGCCCCUUGCAUCCAGUCAGUUGAAACCUCCAGCUCAAGCCACUGACCCCCCACAUGCAGCACAUCAACCCAGACACGUACCUCCACCUGAACCUAGUCACCCUCGACCUCCAGCCUCCUUCCACAGGGCUUCAGGUCAUCGCAGUUCCAAGACCUCUCUGGGGUUUAUCUCAACCCCUUUGAGGAAAAGGCCAAAUGGAAGAAGACGUCCAGUUGCCACCAGAGUACCACCCAGGGUGGAGGUUCACAUCACAAAACCUGCAGUCCCAACAACCGAACCCAUAUCCACUGCCAGGCCCACAUACACACAGACAAGUGGAUUUAAAUACACAGCUGGACUGAAAACCACAAUGCGUAUGUUGGGAUUCGCAGCUCAUCCAACUGGUCGCCUAAAUCCUACAUCACCACCGACUGCCAUGAAGGAGACCGCCUCAACCACUGAAGACUCAAAACCCCUUCGACAAACUGGGGUUUCAGCCUCGUCACAGGGGUCAUCUCCAUGGCGACAUAAAGGUGAGGCAUUAGACACAAAGGAGUUCUCUCCAGCUGUCGGGGCAGCACCCCUGGCAUCAUCUUCAUCCUCGCUGUUGUCAUCGGCAUCAGUGCUUAGCAACAGAAUGAACAAGCCUGUGGCGUCACAGUGGUCGCUACUGAGCAUGAGCAGUGGGGAAAACCAAACGACUGCUAUGGGAAGCUGGACAGAUCCUCUGGAGCCACUGGGCAAUGAGUAUUCUUCAGGUUCUGAGAUGUUUGUGUAUGAUCUGACUGAGCUUGUGGAAGAGGGCAGUGCUUUCAGCUUGUACGAAUUUGAUGCUGCCUACUCUCUGGAAGAACCCACCACUAGUCCUGAUGGCAAAAACGAACAGUCAUUCAACGAAUCAGAUCCUCACGGUGCUUCCGUUCCUGUCACACACCCUUUAACUGCUUCUGAGGGAGGAAGGGAAUAUUCUCUCACCCAAGCACAUUUCCACGAUGACUCAGAAAGUCUGUCGAGUGACUCCGCAGCAGAGAGCAAGCUUUUUCUAGAGCACUCACAGGGUAGAUUGAUGCCAGAAACAGUUACAUCCCUCCGCACUCUUUCUCCAACCUACUACGCGUUUCCAAACAACACUAGUUCAAGUGGACAGAAGCUGAAGGAAAGUUCCUACACACAAGCUGCCACAGAACAACUGACUUUUCAGCCAUCUCUCCUUAUUCCCUCCCUUUCAUCCUUGUUCUUCAUACAGCCAACUCCCCCUUCGCCCAUGAUACCACUGAGCCCCUCUGCUCUCCUUGCAGAGGAGGUUUUCACAAAGCAGAUCUUUCCUUCUUCAGUGCCACAGAUGGAACACAAGGCCCAGAUAUCCAUUUCUUCACUCCCGUUAAACCCAAUGGGCAGUGUGUACGAGGUCGACAUUACUGGAAGAGAUGUUGGACUUCCAGCAGCCAAAAAUUGGCAGAUAAACAAUUUAUAUCCAAGUACUAACUUAUUUCCACAGAUACAUUCGUCUACAGACUUUUCCCCCCAUAGACUUUCUCCUGCUUUUCCCAAAACUUCUUCUUUUGGCAUCUCUCACCACUCCAUCCUUCAUCUUAUUCUCCCCUCUCUUCCCUCCCUGUCAGCUCCCUUCACCUCCUCUCAUGCUAUCAAUCUGUCUCCUUCAUCACCCGUCUCCCCCACUGGCGUUUCUCCCCUGUACUCAAAUACCCUCACUCCUCUCUCAACCUCACCUCCCUUCUGGGUCACUGCUGUUCCUCUUCCACCCUCUGCUGCUCCUCAGCAGCCCUCCCUCUUUAGACCUUCCUCUUCCCCGCAGGCAGAGCGAAGAAACCCAGAAACAGACGGUGUUGUUGAAUCCGCUCAUGUUCCACAGUCAGACAGUGCUAGCGAGAACUCUCAGCCCUCUGUGUUGUCAUUUCCGUCUCCAUCCUCGAACCUUCAAAGAGACUUUGAGGCCACAGUGGCUGACACAGCAUCUUUGUUGUCACUUCCUCCCUUUUAUGAAGCCUUGACUGAGUCUCAGAUGGCAGAGGUUGAUGGUGCAGUGCUCCAUGCAGAAAAGUCUUCCAACAAUAUAUCUGAACCUUUCAAAAGUCAAUCCCUUGAUGCUCAAUCAAGUCAGAUUAGCCCCUCUGGAUCAUCUGUAGAUAAUUUGGCAUCUGUUUCCAGCAACAUCUUAUCAGAUUUACCAGCUCUGGCAGCCCAUUUGGUGUUGCCAGAGUUGAAUUCAUCUGCAGUUUUGAGGCCUUCCUCAGAUGCAGUUGGUCUGUCAGUCAGUCAGCUCUCAGCUCAUUCUGGUCAGAGAGAUGUGAACGGGUCACGUCCAGCUCAUCACUCUGAUGCUAGCUUUACCUCACUGCCAACAGCUGGCAUCUGGGCCUCCGAACACACCCUGGCUCUGCUGCAAGCAAAUAUUGAUAGAAAGCAAGAUUUACGCUCUGCUUCUUUGUCAGCCACUUCUUCAUCAUCUUCGCAUAUCGUUUUUUCAACUCAGGCCAUCCUUCGCCGUGACAACCCAUCACUCACUGUGUCUGCAGAAACUCUUUUUACAACCAGGGUGACAGAGAGGAUGAUAGGUGAGGAAACUGCACUGCCUUCCUCCUCACCCCCUCCUCAUCCUGUCGCUGACAACCCUCUUCUCUUGGCUCAGACAUCUUCAUCUGGGUCGCAAGACAGAUAUACUUCCAGUCUGACCUUUAAUAGAGAUCCAUUGAGCCUGCAGCAUACAAUCUCUCAUUUGCACAUCCAGAGGAGCACAAAUGCAGCCCUGGGUGCUCAAAGUAACUCCAGAGGCUUGCAGGCACUUGUUGACUAUGACAGCACAGUUAAUCACCCCACUUCCCCUUUGUUGGAUCCAUCUGUCACAGUGCCAGCCCAGACGCCGUCACUCCACAGCGGCCUGAGUGCACAGCUUGGCGGUGCAGCCCCCCAGCAUGCUUCAGGGCCGGAUUUUACACAGCACUCGGGCUUGACACAAGCUUACAGUGAACACCCCAGCAGUGCGAUCCACGCACACACUUCAGCGCACACACACUUCGAGGACACGAGUCAGAGAUUUGCAGAGGCGCAUGUUAAUGUCAAGGGGCUGCAGCAGCAAUCAUCCCACUUUCUUUCCUUUGCACCAGCCUCCCCUCUCCUUUCACCCUCCAUUUUGCCUUCUCUUUCUCCUGUUUCCUCUAUUUACCUUUCUCACAUCAAUCCUGCAAUCUCUACCCCUGUAACCAUGUCCUCAUUUCCCCUCUCAUCUUUCUCCACUCCUUCUCUCCCUUCACUCCUCCCCAGCCGGCCGGUGUUGCCAGCAGUAUCUGCCAGCCUGACAGACGCAGAAAUUGGCUUUUUGUCGCCCACUUGGCCGACUGCUGGAGUCAACCAGCCCACAACAACCCAAUCCCCCCUGGACAAAUAUUUACAGUUCUCACAAAGACCCACCACAUACCCCAUUAGUCAGUCAACAGAGUCAGUAGAGCAGUUCAUCCCAGACAGCCCAGCUUCUACACUCCCUGAUGACAAACUGAAAUCCAGCCACUCACAAACUCCUGCUUCCCCUGAAGUGGAUGACAAGGAUGGUGUUUUGCCACAGUCUGCUGACAAUUCACAGACAGUCGAAGCUUCCGGUUUUGAUAGUGGUUCAGUUUUGUCACCCGAGGCCGCAAGUAACCGCAGUGCUGCUGGGAAAUCGUCACAUCUCUCUGCUGUGUUUGAUCCUGCAGACGUUGUUCCAAAGAUACAUAUUGCAGCCGAAGAAGUCUCUGCUGUAGAACUGGCUUCUUCAGCUGUGAGCAACGAUGACAAUGUAACUCUGGAUGUGAUGUUAAAAGGUGUAACAAGCCAUCAGCCUAAUGAAGGUCUGAACACUGAAUCAUUUCCUGCUGAGGUACAAACUACCUCUCCCUGCCCCACUUCUGAACCCAGUUAUCAGCCUAGCUCUGCAAUAUCACAACAGCCAACUGGUGCUUCGGUUAUUCCAAACCCCCUGCACUCUUCUGGCCUUAAUAUCCCCUCUUCCACUCAAGCCUCCAGAUCUCCCACUGGUUUCUCUAUCGAUGCCCCAAAUCACGACUUCCUUUCUGGGCCUGAAUUGCUCCCACUUCCUGCGAAUGACAAUCACACUGCGGGCUUGAAAUACAUCUCCACGUCAAAUGCAACCACUAUUAUCCCACUCAAAGACUCUCCUUCAGGGGCAGUUGAAAUGAAAACCAACACAAAGACUACGAACGCUACGACCUUCAUAGAUAAUGCAAAUCUAGAAGCAUCUCAGGGGAAUGUGACAGGCAACAAACUGAUCCCAGAUCCCAGUGAGAAUGCAGGCACAUCGGCAAAGUCAAAUCUAACCGUUUCAAAGCUGAGUUUGAACUCAAACCCAAGCAUGUCGAAUCACAGCGGGGAUCAGAGCUCGGGAGGUUUUGUAAAUGGGGCCCAGGACCACAGUGGCAACAAUGUCAAAGACGAAAAUAUCAACUUUUCCCCUGUGCCACCUGUAGUUGUCGAUGUUCACCAUUUUCUAACCACAAAGAACUCCUCUCCAACGGCUCCAUUCAAAGCAGUCAGUGGGUCAGUGAACAAUGGCAACAGCAGCGGCCUUAAAAAGGCCACGGCGUACCCUACUCCCGGAUCCCCAACUGUAGCUGCCAAGCCAUGCCAAUGUAAACAACGCUUUCAUUUUACAUGUCUGUGUGGACUGUCAUCGGGGAACAGUAUGUCAUGCAGUAACAAAAAACUGUAGAUGUAGAAAAAGAAAUCCAUAAUUAUAUUAGUAUGCACUCUUAAAAAAAUAAUCAUUACAGUAUUUUUGCAUUGAGUUUUAAAGUCUGUAUAAUUGAAGUGUUUUGCAAGAAAAUAACUGAGCGAUAAUAGACACUUCAUGGCUUCGAAACAAAGUUCUAAUAUUAGCAGUCCAUUUGGCCAUUAAUUCUACUGUACAUAAAACAAACAUGAUUUUAAGACUCAAUACAUAAUUGAAGUAGUCUUUAAGGUGGUUGGGUUUUGCAGUGUGGUAGCUGAGUAUUAGUUUUCGGGAAUACGUAGGUUCAGUAGUUCUGUUUGCAAGGAAAUCCCUGUCAAUCAUGUGAAUAAGUGGGAUGCCAACGGAAGUGAAGGCUGGUGAUGGGUUUGUCAUGAUUCUGAGUCAAUUUUAGGACAUUAACAUGGAGUGUAGUUGUCUAAUCAAAUUGUAGUAUUUAGUGUGGUACUCGUAGUUCAAACAAAGACAGUGUUGUGUUUCGCCUCACUGUCUGUCUUUUACCUUUCUCUUUUACCUGUACAAUAUCCACUUCUAAGACUUUGGAUAUCUCUUCUCAUUUCUUUCAUCUUCUAAACUGUCACCCCCUUUUUAACACUUUUCUGAGGCUUUCGAUCCAUUGAGCUUCCUGGUCGAGACAUCCUGCUCUGCUGCUUCUACUCUCAGACAGUAAAUAAUAGACUCCUCAUCUGCAUUUCACAGACUGCGGUGAAAUCCAGUCGAAACUUUUGCAACGACCAGCUGCUUCGUAAACCUCAGGAAACAAACAAAAAAAACUGUAACCAAGGAUCUGCAGCUUGCAGGGUCUCCCACCAGAACUGGUGGAGUAGAAGCCUUCAGUCCGUCCAGUAGCAUCUACUAACAAUUGUUGAUACUAGAGAGGCACCUAGUGGCCAAUGUGAAGCAUAGCAGGAGAGCCAAAUUAAAAUGAGAAACAAUUGUUCCUUAUACACUGCGUCUGCUUUCAGAAGAAUUAUUCUAAGAGACAUCAGAUCAAUAAAACAGUAUGCAUACAUUGUUGAGAAAUAAGAAAGGAAAUUGAAGACACAAGAAAAGCUGUAGUAUUUGAAGAGUUUAAAAGUUUGAAGGAUGAAAAUUCUAACAUUAGGACUUGGGCUUUGUGCUAACCUCCAACAAUUCUGUUCUUUAGUUCAAAAACAUUAUUUGUGAAAGAUUUAUUUUGGCUGCAGCUACUGUAUGUUUUCAUCACUAAUUUAGUUUGAUAACUGUUUUGCCAUUUAUGUUAAGAAAUACCAGAAAGUAGUGAAGUAAAAACAACACAUUCUCACAUUUGAGCAGCUGCAAUCAAACAAAGGUUUGGCACAAAAGCUCAAUAAAAAAAAAAAAAUAGAAAAUUAAAUUGGGUCACUGUCAUUCAUGAAAGUAUCGCUUAAAAACUGAGUUUGAAAACAUUGUUUGAAUAUGAAAAGAGCAUGUCUAGUGUUAUCAUGUACUUUUUUGUGCCAGUGUCAGUAUUUAUUCUAAUUUAAAAAUUUUCUUUUAAAUGAACCAACAAAUGUGUGCAAAUAUGGAAAGGGUUGUGGUAGCCCAAAAAACAACUUUUUUUUUUAAAACCUGGAACAGAAACGCAGCAUUCGUAAAGCUUUAAUCACACAUGUCCAUCUGGUUAGUUUUCAAUUUAUUGAAAUCACAUACCAUCAUAUAUGCAUCUAAUACAGAUCAUUGAGCAAUUCAUUGACCAACAAAGUAGAGCUCUCUCUAUAGGCAAGCUUGACUUACAUAUAUGAGGUUAAGUAUUUCCAAAAGAAUAUAUAUACUUUGUUAAAGACGCAUAAACAUAAUAUUAGUCGUCUGUUGCAGUUUUCUAUUUAUUUAAACACCCCUAAAGAAUGUGUUAAAGUGUUAAAUCCUCACAGAGACUGAAAAGGUUAAUGACAGGGUUGAUAAACUGCUGCAGGCGGCAGAAACAUGCCGUCCAGCAGCUUUUUUCUGAUUCCUGACACAUCCCAAAUGAUCCCAUUCUCCGAGAAAAGAAACCAUAAUGACUGCUCUCCCGUCCUCUCUGCUGUUGUUAUCUGCCAUGCAGCACAUUCCUCCUCAUCAUUUUACUCUGUAAAAUUGGAUUUUUACAUAACUCGAUUAGCUCCAUCCGUCCUGCUCUAUUCGUCUCCUGCUAUGUGGCACAGGCGCGAAAAAAAAUUCCAUUCUGUGUGUGAAAUAGUUUGUGCCGAAUGGAGACUGAAGUGUUAUUUUCUCUUUCUCUUGCAGAGGGGUUGUACUACCGGAUUUCAUUUGUGGUGGAGGACGAGGACUCGAUGCUGACCCGGGAUGAUGUCGAGCUAGCAGUGGCUCUCUGGCUGAAUCAAACAUUUCAGAACUGGACCCACACUGUC